GCCCCCGUAGCUCAGUGGAUCAGAGCAUUGGCCUCCGGAGCCAUGUGCGCAGGUUCGAGUCCUGCCGGGGGUACCA
rnacentral:tRNA from 2 species